UGCCACUGCUGGUGGACGUUUCGUCCCCGAGGGUAUCACCAGCCCAGUAGUCAACAUUUCGGUGUUGACAUGAAUAUCAAUAAUGUGGUCAUUUUUAUAAAUUUCCUGUUUACAAAACAUUGAAUUUUACUAAAAACUAAGGAUUUUUUUUAUCCCAGGCAUAGAUUACCUUAGCCGUAUUUGGCACAACUUUUUGGAAUUUUGGAUCCUCAAUGCUCUUCAACUUUGAACUUGUUUGGCUUUAUAAAUAUUUUGAUAUGAGCGUCACUGAUGAGUCUUAUGUAGACGAAACGCGCGUCUGGCGUACUAAAUUAUAAUCCUGGUACCUUUGAUAACUAAUUAUAU
rnacentral:lncRNA from 1 species